AAUAACAUGUUCUUUAUCUACAACUAACAAAUGUACAGGCAGACAAGCAAUUGACGGCAUGGCAGUUCAGUCCCCACUUGGAAAACAGAAAACUUUAAUCGACCUUGGAUUGAAACGAACGGCAGAAGUCAUUUGAAAAACGACACGACAAUGGAUCAAACUUGAAGUUCACCGAGUACAUUUAUUUUAACUGAAAAAGGGAAGCCGUUUGAUCCGUUACAUUCCUUGACUUUUAGAGUGUGCUUUUAAACAACACCGGAAACUCAUUCCUGGUUCAUUUCAUUGACAAACAGACAUGCACUUGCACGCACGCACACACACGUGCACACACAGCCGUCCUGCUGCGCAACCUUGGGUUUUGGGAAACUUUAACAGAUGCUGGGUAGUGACACCUGAGCCAGAAGAAGUCAGGACCAUCAGGAUCCUUCUCUAGAAGACAGGAGUGGUCAACCAGGCAGUAAAUCGCAGACUGCCCCUUUAAAGAGCAAAUAAAGCGUUGAGUUCCUCUCUCAAACGCUGGCGUUGCCAUUUCCUCCACACAAGUCAUCGGAGCUAGCAAAGGAAGAAGUAAAAAGCCCAGGCACCAGCACCAACAACUCCCGUUUCAACUCCUUGGAAACGAUGACAAGGCAAAAGGUGUGCUGGAGACAGAGCAGCUGCAACCUAUUCCAUAAUCAAGACGUCUACAAAUACUCAGCUCUGCCACUUCCACUCUGCCAGAUGUUCCGCUGACUCUGGUCCCUGUCUCCAGAUCUACGUCUCGUCAUCCUGCUACUCUGUCCUGGAUUCCCCACUCUACUACUCCCUUGGAUUCCUCUGGACCUGCUUACCCUGUCCCAACCCCUCUCGCCUCAGCCUCCACACCUGGUUCCCUGCAACCCACCCGAGCUUCCCCUGUCCUGCACUCCAUCUUCCCCAUGUGUUUCAAUAAAUACCUUGGUUACU